rnacentral:lncRNA from 1 species
AUAUAUAUUUGAUCUGUUGCUGGACUUACACUGAGAAGGCACCUGGAGACUGCUGUGGAGUGGACCCUCUUGAGGGACCCCUAGGAAACAUGCCGGUAGAGCGAAUUGUGUGUGGCAGCCCGGCGGAGGGAAGGAGGCAGCCGGUUUGCAGCCCAAUGUUCACGCUCACGUGCAUACAGGACAUUCGGCUCAGGCUUCCUGGCUUCUGGUGUUCACUCUGGACUCAGUAGUUCGGCCGUCUCGUUUUCCAGAGGAGAGUUUCACCUCUCCAAGGGGCAACUGCGUCUUCUCACAGAACUUAUUAAAUGGGAAACUGGCCCAUGUUAAAGGCACAGUCACAUCUAGUGGACUCUCUCCGCUAAAAAUAGAAAAAUUGAAGAAAUAUCCUAAAAGUGACAUCUUUGAAGAAAACUGGGAACGACUGUUCAAAAUGCUGUGUGCCAAGAGUAAGGGAGGGGAGAUUUCCAUACCUGUGAAAUUCAUUUUCAGGUAAAGAGGUUCCUCCAUCUGCUCCCCCCGAGCCUGCAGGGGCCCCAGGCUUUCCUCCCUUGCCCCUCGGGCGAGUCCUCCUCCCAAACCACGCAGCCACGGACCGGUUCCUGCUGUUUACACUCCGGGUCCUCCUGGGCAAGGCUGCUCUUGGUAACCAUAGAGACCAGAAGGUGUCCUUGCACAAGUGGUAGGUGGAAAACCGAGGGCUCUGACACCACGAGGUCAUCCCCCCCCACAAGGCAUCUCGGUUUCCAUAAGCACAUUUACUUGUCCUAUCUGCUGUUUGAUUCAGAGCUUCCCAGAAGCCUGGACUAGGCGACGAUGGUGCAGGCUGAUGAUCGUGAGAGACACGGAGAGGGUGAAGUGGAUUUCACCCUUCAGGGAGGACCGAGCAGCUAGCAAGUCCCCGCUCUGUGGCGUGGAUCGCUCCCCAAGCAGAGCAUGGCACUCUAUGCCUAGGGCAGCUCUGGCGUUUCUUACAUGGUACUCUUGGUGGUUGUGCUCCCCUCAUCCCCCUACCUCUUGGCCCUAGAGGGCAGGGACCGCAAUUCGGUGCUAGGCAAAGCCUGAGGAGCAGUAAGGAGCCAGAGGCAGCCACACGACUUCUGGGGCUGCUGGCCUCUUCCCAGGUCCCAAGUGGACAUACUGGGUUUUCUGGACUGGUUCUGAAACUCAAAGCUCAAGCUACUCCAGCCAAAUCGGCUCCCUGGUGAGGGGGAGGCAGCCAGGGAGAGGGGGGAUGGGCUGUGGGGGCGUAGCAAAACUGUGA